rnacentral:rRNA from 1 species
CAUGCAAGUCGAGGGGCAGCAUAUAGAUUGCUUGCUAAUUUAUGAUGGCGACCGGCGCACGGUGAGUACGCGUAUCCAACCUACCCAUUACUAGGAAUAACCCAGCGAAAGUUGGCCUAAUGCCCUAUGUAGUCGUUUGAUCGCCUGAGAUUUCGACGAAAGAUUUAUCGGUAUUGGAUGGGGGAUGCGUCUGAUUAGCUUGUUGGCGGGGUAAAGGCCCCACCAAGGCAACGAUCAGUAGGGGUUCUGAGAGGAAGGUCCCCCACAUUGGAACUGAGACACGGUCCAAACUCCUACGGGAGGCAGCAGUGAGGAAUAUUGGUCAAUGGGCGAGAGCCUGAACCAGCCAAGUAGCGUGCAGGAUGACGGCCCUAUGGGUUGUAAACUGCUUUUAUAUGGGGAAUAAAGUGAGGGGACGUGUCCCUUAUUGCAUGUACCAUACGAAUAAGGACCGGCUAAUUCCGUGCCAGCAGCCGCGGUAAAU